AAUGUUUUUUAUGAUUUAAAUGGCAUCUAUAUUGGACUUCAAACAAGAUGCAAGAUCAGCAUAUCCUGACAGAAAGGGAAAUGAAAGAUGGAAACAUGUUAACUACUGCUUGUAAUAGUAGAAGUUUCAAGGGAAGAACAGAGUCGACAAAGGUUUGUGACUCAUUGUUUAUUUUUGAUAUGGCAACCGUAAUGUACCUAGGUGCUUUGGAAACGGGAAG
rnacentral:lncRNA from 1 species